rnacentral:rRNA from 1 species
GUGAGGAAUUUUCCACAAUGGACGAAAGUCUGAUGGAGCAACGCCGCGUGCAGGAAGACGGCCUUCGGGUUGUAAACUGCUUUUAUUUGGGAAGAUUAUGACGGUACCAAAUGAAUAAGGAUCGGCUAACUACGUGCCAGCAGCCGCGGUAAUACGUAGGAUCCAAGCGUUAUCCGGAAUUACUGGGCGUAAAGCGUACGUAGGUGGAGACUUAAGUGAGAUGCGAAAUCUGGCGGCUCAACCGUCUAGACUGUGUCUCAUACUGGGUUUCUUGAGGUUGGCAGAGGCAAGUGGAAUUUCCGGUGUAGCAGUGAAAUGCGUAGAUAUCGGAAGGAACACCAAUGGCGAAGGCAGCUUGCUGGGCCACACCUGACACUGAGGUACGAAAGCGUGGGGAGCGAACAGGAUUAGAAACCCCUGUAGUCC